UAUUACUUGGUUUAGCUACUAUAUCUUGUAUUGUUGGUGAUUAAUACUUGGUUUUGAAAGGUAUUGCAUGACUUUGUCUGUUAUGCUAUUCUUGAAAUGGGAACUAUGAAGUUGGCAUAAUGUGCUUGAAGAUGCAUAAAAUUUGACAAAUUUUUUUGAGAUCAUAUGCAGUUCAAUGUGCCGAAAUAAAGGCUAACUUUCUUCAGAAUCUAGUACUUUAUCAAAAGGUCCGCUGCAUGCAUAUGCAUCUCUUCUCGACCUGUGCUCUCUCAUCUCUGCUCUUCUCAGAUUACGGAGAUGGUGUCUGACUUGCCUAUGUUCGACGGCAGUUGUGAUAAGCAAUUGCUUUAGAUGGAAAUGAAAUAGCUGGCGCAAUCGCAACCCGAUGGUCACGACAUCGAGAGCUUGGUCAAGACAACCAUCUUGUAGAUGAGCCCGCUAGUGGUGAUGAUGAUGGGGAGCACGUGUCAAACACACAACAACAUGAUUGAAAUUUAAGUAUUUUACUAACUUAUGAAUUUUUUGGUUGAUUUAAAAAAUGUAAAAAUAUUUGGUGGAUGUUUAUGAAUGUUGAAGUAGUUUGAUGUUAUUGACCGACUUAAUGUAGACAAGUUUAAUGUUUUGGAUGUUUGUAAAGGUUGAAGUACUUUAAUGUCUUUUGAGAAUGUUUAAUUACGUUUUGAUUCAACUUUGAAGUAGCUUCGAGUUGAUUUUGAUGUAGUGCAGGUUGUAGCAUGUUAUUAUAUGUGUUUGUUGGAUUGUUGGCAGCUAUUUGAGCGGGUUUUGGAAAAAUAUAGAAUUGUUUAUGAUUUUUGGCAGGUGGGCAGCU